UACGUAGGGGGCAAGCGUUGUCCGGAAUCAUUGGGCGUAAAGAGCGCGUAGGCGGUCCGGUAAGUCCGCUGUGAAAGUCAAGGGCUCAACCCUUGAAUGCCGGUGGAUACUGUCGGGCUAGAAUGCGGAAGAGGCGAGUGGAAUUCCUGGUGUAGCAGUGAAAUGCGUAGAGAUCGGGAGGAACAUCAGUUGCGAAGGCGGCUCUCUGGACCAGCACUGACACUGAGGCACGAAAGCGUGGGGAGCAAACAGG
rnacentral:rRNA from 1 species